rnacentral:rRNA from 1 species
AUGGGUGAUUGGGACGUUGAGCUAGUACGGGAUACUUUUUGGGAGGAGGAUGCAGCCUUGAUACUCCAGAUACCUCUGAGGGAUGGUGCUGUGGAUUUUAUGGCAUGGCAUUUUGACCCAAAGGGGCUGUUUUCGGUUAGGCAGGCUUACAAGCUAAGGAGGACAAUCUCUGAGACUGCGGGGCCUGCUGGUGGGGCGCCCCAAAUAGAGGUUGGCAAUCUGAAUGAUGGAGGACAGGACAAAUGGAGAAGUACUCGUAUCUGA